CCUACGGGAGGCAGCAGUGAGGAAUAUUGGUCAAUGGACGCAAGUCUGAACCAGCCAUGCCGCGUGCAGGAUGACGGCUCUAUGAGUUGUAAACUGCUUUUGUACGAGGGUAAACCCCGAUACGUGUAUCGGGAUGAAAGUACCGUACGAAUAAGGAUCGGCUAACUCCGUGCCAGCAGCCGCGGUAAUACGGAGGAUCCGAGCGUUAUCCGGGUUUAUUGGGGUUAAAGGGUGCGUAGGCGGUUUGAUAAGUUAGAGGUGAAAUGUCGGGGCUUAACCCCGGAACUGCCUCUAAUACUGUUGAUCUAGAGAGUAGUUGCGGUAGGCGGAAUGUAUGGUGUAGCGGUGAAAUGCUUAGAGAUCAUACAGAACACCGAUUGCGAAGGCAGCUUACCAACCUAUAACUGACGUUGAGGCACGAAAGCGUGGGUAGCAAACAGGAUUAGAUACCCGGGUAGUC
rnacentral:rRNA from 1 species